UACGUAGGGGGCAAGCGUUGUCCGGAUUUAUUGGGCGUAAAGAGCGUGUAGGCGGUCAGGUAGGUCCGUUGUGAAAACUCGAGGCUCAACCUCGAGACGCCGAUGGAAACCGUCUGGCUAGAGUCCGGAAGAGGAGAGUGGAAUUCCCGGUGUAGCGGUGAAAUGCGCAGAUAUCGGGAAGAACACCCGUGGCGAAGGCGGCUCUCUGGGACGGUACUGACGCUGAGACGCGAAAGCGUGGGGAGCGAACAGG
rnacentral:rRNA from 1 species